CUUUUCUGCUUCUCAAUUUCCCACAUGCUUUGAUUUUGUUCUCUUCUGCUUUUUUAAUUACCCACAUGCUUUUCAUUUGUUUAUCUACAUCGUGUGUAUUGUCAGGCUGCAUCUGCGUGGCCUAAAUAAAUAAUUUCAAGGGGUCAGGCAAUGACUUGAAAUGGGUUUGAGCUGAAGCAUUCUUUUUGUUCUCUUCUGCUACUCAAUUCCCGCUUGCUUUUUCAUUUGCUUAUCUAUGUUGUGUGUACUGUGUAUUGCCAGGCUGCAUUUGUGUAGGUUAAAUAAACACUUCUGGGGGUCAGGCAAUCCCUUGAAAUGGGUUUGAGCUAAGAGUACUUGAUUUUAUUUUAUUCUCUUCUGCUUCUCAAUUUCCCACACGGUUUUCAUUUCCCCAUCUCCUUUUGUGUAUUGCCAGGCUGCAUUUUGCGUGGUUUGAAUAAAUAAUUCAAAGGGGUCUGGCAAUGCCAUGAAAUGGGUUUGAACUAAGGCUUUGUGAUUUUCUUUAUGUUCUGUUCUGCUUCUCAAUUUCCCUGUUGCUUUUCGUUUGUUUAUCUACAUUUUGUGUAUUGUGAGGCUGCAUCUGCGUGGCCUGAAUAAAUAAUUCCAAGGGGGUCAUGCAAUGCCAGGAAAUGGGUUUGAGCCAAGGCUACGUGAUUUUGUUCGUUGUGUGUAUUGUCAGGCUGCAUCUGGGUUGGCCUAAAUGAAUAAUUUCAAGGGAUCAUGCAAAAGGCCAUGAUAUGGGUUUGAGCUAAGGCAUUCUUUAUCUUCUCUUCUGCUUCUCAAUUUCCCGUGUGCUUUUCAUUUGCGUAUCUACUUUGUGUGUAUUGCCAGGCUGCAUUUUGCGUGGUUUGAAUAAAUAAUUCAAAGGGGUGCAGCAAUGCCAUGAAAUGGGUUUGAGUUAAGGCUUUGUGAUAUUGUUUAUGUUCUGUUCUGCUUCUCAAUUUCCCCCUUGCUUUUCAUUUGUUUAUCUACAUUGUGUGUAUUGUCAGGCUGCAUCUGCGUGGCGAUGAAAUGGGUUUGAGCUAAGGCUACGUGAUUUUGUUCUUUAUUUUCUUUUCUGCUUCUCAAUUUCCCACAUGCUUUGCAUUUGUUUAUCUGCUUGAUUUUGUUCUCUUCUGCUUCUUCAAUUACCCACAUGCUUUUCAUUUGUUUAUCUACUUUGUGUGUAUUGCCAGGCUGCAUUUUGCGUGGUUUGAAUAAAUAAUUCAAAGGGGUGCAGCAAUGCCAUGAAAUGGGUUUGAGCUAAGGCUUUGUGAUUUUGUUUAUGUUCUGUUCUGCUUCUCAAUUUCCCCCUUGCUUUUCAUUUGUUUAUCUACAUUGUGUGUAUUGUCAGGCUGCAUCUGCGUGGCGAUGAAAUGGGUUUGAGCUAAGGCUACGUGAUUUUGUUCUUUAUUUUCUUUUCUGCUUCUCAAUUUCCCACAUGCUUUGCAUUUGUUUAUCUGCUUGAUUUUGUUCUCUUCUGCUUCUUCAAUUACCCACAUGCUUUUCAUUUGUUUAUCUACAUCGUGUGUAUUGUCAGGCUGCAUCUGCGUGGCCUAAAUAAAUAAUUCCGAGGCUGCAUCUGCGUGGCCUAAAUAAAUAAUUCCGAGGGGUCAGGCAAUGACUUGAAAUGGGUUUGAGCUGAAGCGUUCGUUUUGUUCUCUUCUGCUACUCAAUUCCCGCAUGCUUUUUCAUUUGCUUAUCUAUGUUGUGUGUACUGUGUAUUGCCAGGCUGCAUUUGCGUAGGUUAAAUAAACACUUCUGAGGGGUCAGGCAAUCCCAUGAAAUGGGUUUGAGCUAAGAGUACUUGAUUUUAUUUUGUUCUCUUCUGCUUCUCAAUUUCCCACACGGUUUUCAUUUCCCUAUCUACUUUGUGUAUUGCCAGGCUGCAUUUUGCGUGGUUUGAAUAAAUAAUUCAAAGGGGUCAGGCAAUGCCAUGAAAUGGGUUUGAACUAAGGCUUUGUGAUUUUCUUUAUGUUCUGUUCUGCUUCUCAAUUACCCCCUUGCUUAUCGUUUGUUUAUCGACAUUGUGUGUAUUGUGAUGCUGCAUCUGCGUGGUCUGAAUAAAUUCCAUGGGGUCAUGCAAUGCCUUGAAAUGGGUUUGAGCCAAGGAUACGUGAUUUUGUUCUUUAUGUUCUCUUCUGCUUCUCAAUUUCCCACAUGCUUUUCAUUUGCCUACCUACUUUGUGUGUAUUGCCAGGCUGCAUUUUGCGUGGUCUGAAUAAAUAAUUCAAAGGGGUGCAGCAAUGCCAUGAAAUGGGUUUGAGCUAAGGCUUUGUGAUUUUGUUUAUGUUCUGUUCUGCUUCUUGAUAUCCCCCUUGCUUUUCCAUUUGUUUAUCCACAUUGUGUGUAUUGUCAGGCUGCAUCUGCGUGGCCAGAAUAAAUAAUUUCAAGGGGUCAGGCAAUGACUUGAAAUGGGUUUGAGCUGAAGCGUUACUUUUGUUCUCUUCUGCUACUUAAUUCCCACAUGCUUUUCAUUUGCUUAUCUAUGUCUUGUGUACUGUUUAUUGCCAGGCUGCAUUUGCGUAUGUUAAAUAAACACUUCUGAGGGGUCAGGCAAUCCCAUUAAAUGGGUUUGAGCUAAGAAUACUUGAUUUUGUUUUGUUCUCUUCUGCUUCUGAAUUUUCCACACGCUUUUGAUGUGUUUAUUGUCAGGCUGCAUGUGGGUUGCCUAAAUGAAUAAUUUCAAGGGAUCAUGCAAUGCCAUGAGGGGGGUUUGAGCUAAGAGUACUUGAUUUUGUUUUUUGUUUUUUUGUUUUGAUUCUGUUCUGCUUCUCAAUUUUGCACACGCCUUUCAUGUGUUUAUCUACAUCGUGUGUAUUGUCAGGCUGCAUCUGGGUGGCCUAGAUGAAUAAUUUCAAGGGAUCAUGCAAUGCCAUGAAAUGGGUUUGAGCUAAGAUGUGCUUUAUCCUCUCUUCUGCUUCUCAAUUUCCCACAUGGUUUUCAUUUGCCUAUCUACUUUGUGUGUGUUGCCAGGCUGCAUUUUGCGUGGCCUGAAUAAAUAAUUCCAAGGGGUCAAGCAAUGCCAUGAAAUGGGUUUGAGCUAAGGCUACGUGAUUUUGUUCUUUAUGUUCUCUUCUGCUUCUCAAUUUCUCACAUGCUUUUCAUUUGCUUAUCUAUGUUGUGUGUACUGUGUAUUGCCAGGCUGCAUUUGUGUAGAUUAAAUAAAUAAUUCUGGGGGCUCAGGCAAUGCCAUUAAAUGGGUUUGAGCUAAGACUACUUGAUUUUGUUUUUUUUUUUCCUCCUCUGCUUCUCAAUUUUCCACACACUUUUCAUGUGUUUAUCUACGUUUUGUAUUGUCAGGCUGAAUCUGGGUUGGCCUAAAUAAAUAAUUUCAAGGGAUCAUGCAAUGCCAUGAAACGUGUUUGAGCUAAGGCGUUCUUUAUGUUCUUUUCUGCUUCUCAAUUUCCCACAUGGUUUUCAUUGGCCUAUCUACUUUGCGUGGUUUGAAUAAAUAAUUCAAAGGGGUGCGGCAAUGCCAUGAAAUGGGUUUGAGCUAAGGUUUUGUGAUUUUGUUUAUGUUUUGUUCCACUUCUCAAUUUCCCCCUUGCUUUUGAUUUGUUUAUCUACAUUGUGUGUAUUGUCAGGCUGCAUCUGCGUGGCCUGAAUAAAUAUUUCCAAGGGGUCAUGCAAUGCUGUGAAAUGGGUUUGAGCUAAGGCGUUCUUUGUGUUUGCUUCUGCUUCUCAAUUUCCCAUAUGCUUUUCAUAUGCUCAUCUACUUGGCGUGUAUUGUCAGGCUGCAUUUGCGUGUCAGGCUGCAUUUGCGUGGUUUAAGUUUGUAUUCCAAGGGGUGCGGCAAUACCAUAAAAUGGAUUUGAGCUAAGGCUAAAUGAUUUUGUUUUUUUUGUUCUCUUCUGCUUCUUUAAUUUCCCACAUGCUUUUCAUUUGUUUAUCUUCAUUGUGUGUAUUGUCAGGCUGCAUCAUGUUGGCCUAAAUAAAUAAUUCUAAGGAUUCAGGCACGGAUUUGGGAUUUUGAGCUAAGGCUACGUGAUUUUGUUCUUUAUGUUCUCUUAUGCUUCUCAAUUUCAGUCUUUCAUUUCUUUAUCUGUAUUGUCAGGCUGCAUCUGCGUGGCCUAAAGAAAUGAUUUCAAGGGGUCAGGCAAUGACUUGAAAUAGGUUUGAGCCAAGGCUACGUGAUUUUGUUCUUUAUGUUCUCGUCUGCUUCUCAAUUUCCCACGUGCUUUUCAAUUGUUUAUUAUCUACGUGAAAUGGGUUUUGUGAUAAGGCUACGUGAAUUUUUUUCUGUAUGUUCUCUUGUGCUUCUCAAUAUGCCACAUGCUUUUCAUUUGUUUAUCUACGUUGGGUGUGGUCUAAAUAAAUAAUUUCAAGGGGUCGUGCAAUGCCAUGAUUUUGAAUACUCUUCCGUGAUGAUUAUUUUACAAUGAUAUUCUUUUACGUAACAACUACCAUGAAAUAGAGCUUGAAUUUUCUCUCUCAGUGAAAGUUUGCAAGGAUAUGAAUACGAGCAACAGUGGGGUUUCCACUUUCAUGUGAUUUUCGUUUCUCUUUCCUAGUGUAUGGUUCUAUUGCCAUUUGCAGAAAGCAACUUCAGUAGCUUUGCCUUCGCUACAAUUUCCUGCAAAACUUGACUGACCAGCCCAGCCACCAACUUCAUUAUCCUAAUAUUUGUGAUUUUACAGUUCAUUAUGAAAUCCUUAUAGAUACCUGGUGGGGAUAAUGUUUGAAAUCCUGGUGGGGAUAAUCCUUAGUCUGUAGAAGGGCUUGUUUCGAUGAUUUGCAUUUUCUUUUCUUAGGCAUCUGGUUUUAAGAGGAAUAUAAAUUGAUGACUUAAGUGCAGGAUUUGCUGAGGGUCUUGGUCAUUUUUGUUUGUAUCCUAAUACCCUUUAUGGAUGGUAAUUUAUCAUUGUGACUUGGUUAUAGCUGCUGAGGGAAAGUCUAUCUUAUGGCAUUGAAAAAUCAGGUUUUGGUUUAUUCAUCUUUGAUCGACAAGAGUUAGGCUUUCUAAGAUUGUGCGACCUCAGGUAUUUGCUUACAUCAUUAUUGGUUUGGGAAGUAACAGAGAGUUCUGAUUUCGGGUCCACCCAAGGUUGCUACUGGUCCUAAGCUUUCACAAUUCUGGACACAUUUCAGCACCAAGGUUAAUAUGCUUCUAUAUGCCCUUCUAUAUGCCCAUAUGAUUAUCGCUUGUGGUUUUCUGAUAUCGAAUUCUCUAUCAAGUUCAUGAAAUACUAGAGGUAUACGGUGUCAUGCUACAAGUUUUUACUGCAGUUGGUUCCAGCAAGGUUUUAUCGUCCUGAUGAAUAUGGUGUCGUCUGCGAGAUUAUAACUAUGAAACUCUGUACUCUACGGUUGGCUGGUUUCCAACUUGUAAGGCUGUAUUUUCCCUUAUUGAUUUACUGACUUGGUAACCAUCAGCACAAAUAAGUUCCCCUUAGUCCAGAAUCCGAUCCUUGUGAUUUUUUUUGAUUCAAAAAUUUGUUGUGGUGUGGUACAGCUUGGAUUUGAAUUGUUGGAUUGUGUGGGGGAUGUAAUGAGACUACAGAAAAACUUAUUAAGGAUAGCGGCCUCAAGGAUUUCUUGUACUGGGUUACAAAUAUGGAGCAUGGCAUGUUACCAAUUUGUCGCAA